UUGCUGUGAUGACUAUCUUAGGACACCUUUGGAAUGCCCGUGAAAAAAAAACCAACAGUUCUUUCUGAGCAAC